UACGUAGGGCGCAAGCGUUGUCCGGAAUUAUUGGGCGUAAAGAGCUCGUAGGCGGUUUGUCGCGUCUGCUGUGAAAACCUGAGGCUCAACCUCGGGCUUGCAGUGGGUACGGGCAGACUAGAGUGUCGGUAGGGGAGACUGGAAUUCCUGGUGUAGCGGUGAAAUGCGCAGAUAUCAGGAGGAACACCGAUGGCGAAGGCAGGUCUCUGGGCCACUACUGACGCUGGAGGAAGCGAAAGCAUGGGGAGCGAACAGG
rnacentral:rRNA from 1 species